UCAAUAUUCACACAACCAUCCAUCCCCACACAACUCAACCCAACCAUCCAUCCCCACACCACCCAACCAUCCAUCCAUCCAUCCCCACACCACCCAACCAUCCAUCCAUCCAUCCCCACACCACCCAACCAUCCGUCCAUCCAUCCCCAUAUGACCCAACCAUCCUGUGAUGUUAUUGACAUGAACUAUGACCAUAUAGAUCAUUGUUGCAACCAAAGUCCUAUGGUUGCACCAAAACUUGUACAAAGGAGAUCUAUGGAAAGGUGAUGAUUUGCUGGUUUUGAUUGUGCUGUCUACAUGUGUGUAUCAGUUUUGUAUUUGAAGUCAUGAAUAUUGGCUCUGUACUUGUAUCUCAAUGUGUUUUGAUUCUAAGUAGUCUCAGUGAAGUAUUUCCUCAAGUUUCUUGAGACAGGACUAUUCUCAGUAAGUGCCCAAUCAAGAAACACUUAACUGACAAUGGACUUUGGGAGAUGCCAAUCCACAUCUGAGCUUUCCUGGGAACGUUCAAACUAACAUGUAAACAAUGGCGUCAGCCUGCAAAAAUCUGAAUCAUUCAUGGACAUGUGACUUGCCCAGGUGGCUACAAACUCCAUCUUGUUGCUGUGAUUUUGCACAGAAGAACAAAGAGAGAGAAUAUGAAAGGCCUGUCCCUGUCUCACACUCUCUCUCGUCCCAGCAGGUCCCCUCCUCUCUGCCUCACCUCCAUCUUGUAACCUGACCCUGGAUGAUUUCUAUGGGGUCUUCUCUCCGCCUGCCUGGCCUGGAGGCCCUGCUGGAGCCCUCGUCCGGUGCCGCUGGGCCCUGGACCCCCACGACAGUCGCCCCCUCACUGUGCUCUUCACCACGCUGGACCUGGCUCCGAACGACUCCCUAGAAGUGUACGAGGGCCACCCAGACCUGUUGGCCGAGCCGCGGCUGCUGCGGCGUGUGGAUGCGGCCAGCAACGGGCAGCCAGUGGUGGUGGAGUCGCCCUCCAGCCGGGCGUGGGUGGCCUGGCAGGGCCUGGGGGGCCGUGGCUUCAACGCCACCUACCACGUGCGUGGGUUCUGCGUGCCCUGGCAGCGGCCCUGCGGCCGGGGGGACGAGGCCCGGUGCUACGGGGAGGCGGAGCGCUGCGAUGGCAUCUGGCACUGCCCAGACGGGGCGGACGAGGAGCACUGCCCAGGCUGCCCAGAAGGGAGCUACCCCUGCCGGGGUGGCGCCGGCGGCCCCUGCUACGCACCCGCUGACCGGUGCAACUACCAGACACUGUGCCCGGACGGGGCGGACGAGCGGGGCUGCUGGCACUGCCAGCCCGGCAACUUCCGGUGCGGGGACGGGCGCUGCGUCUACGAGGCCUGGCGCUGCGACGGGCAGCCUGACUGUGCCGACGCCUCGGACGAGGUCUCCUGCCCCUACACCCUGCCCCGCAAGGUGGUGGCAGCCGCGGCCAUCGGCAGCCUGGUCUGCGGCCUCCUGCUGGUCAUCGCGCUGGGCUGCACCUGCCGGCUCUACGCCGUGCGCAGCCGGGAGUACAGCCUCUUCGCCCCCCUGUCCCGCAGCGAUGCCCAGCUGGUCCGGCAGGAGGCGCCCCCGUCCUAUGGGCAGCUCAUCGCACAGGGGCUGGUCCCACCCCUCGAGGACUUCCCCACCGAAAGCCCCGGGCAGGUGAGACGCAUCCACCCUGCACCCCAUUGAGCCCCCCCACUGCAGCCACCACAACCCUGUCUCCACA
rnacentral:lncRNA from 1 species